rfam:Gymnopus luxurians FD-317 M1 unplaced genomic scaffold GYMLTscaffold_29, whole genome shotgun sequence.
UCCGAUAUGGUGUAGUGGCUAACAUUAUCGCCUCUCAUUGAAUGGUGUCACGAGAGUUUGACGCGAUAGCCCGGGGUUCGAUUCCCCGUGUCGGAA